GCCUGGGUGGCUCAGUCGGUUAAGCAUCCGACUUCAGCUCAGGUCAUAAUCUCGUGAUUUGUGGGUUCAAGCCCCACGACAGGCU
rnacentral:tRNA from 1 species